rnacentral:rRNA from 1 species
UUCCGGUUGAUCCUGCCGGAGGCCACUGCUAUGGGAGUCCGACUAAGCCAUGCGAGCCAAGGGGGGCUUUGCCCACCGGCGGACGGCUCAGUAACACGUGGACAACCUGCCCUCGGGAGGGGGAUAACCCCGGGAAACUGGGGCUAAACCCCCAUAGGGCAUGGGUACUGGAAGGUCCCAUGUCCGAAAUUCCGAAAGGAGCCCGAGGAUGGGUCUGCGGCCUAUCAGGUUGUAGUGGGGGUAACGGCCCCACUAGCCUACGACGGGUACGGGCCCUGGGAGGGGGAGCCCGGAGAUGGACUCUGAGACAAGAGUCCAGGCCCUACGGGGCGCAGCAGGCGCGAAACCUCCGCAAUGCGGGAAACCGCGACGGGGGGACUCCCAGUGCCUACGCUUUGCGUAGGCUGUUCCCGAGCCUAAAA